UACAGAGGUCUCAAGCGUUGUUCGGAUUCAUUGGGCGUAAAGGGUGCGUAGGCGGCGCGGUAAGUCGGGUGUGAAAUCUCGGAGCUUAACUCCGAAACUGCAUUCGAUACUGCCGUGCUUGAGGACUGGAGAGGAGACUGGAAUUUACGAUGUAGCGGUGAAAUGCGUAGAUAUCGUAAGGAAGACCAGUGGCGAAGGCGGGUCUCUGGACAGUUCCUGACGCUGAGGCACGAAGGCCAGGGGAGCAAACGGG
rnacentral:rRNA from 1 species